UCGCUGCGACGUGCCCCUCCCUGGGUAUCUCUGACCAAACGGAAGGGCUGUGUGGGCUGCCGCUGCGUUCAGGUUCGGGGUACCGUCGAAAGCUCGGCUCCCGUCGAAAGCUGGCUUCACAGUCCUUCAGUCCCGGAGACCAGAAGACUUCACCCCUCGAGCGUCUACAAUCUGCAGAUAGAGGUUCCACGGUGAUCUGGGAGGGGCAGAUCAGCCCGAGAGACAAACUCACUCCCAAAACCACACCCAUGGCCUCCACCAGCCAGGAGAAUGUGAUGGAGGAGGAAGGGAGAGCCGUGAGUGGGGACAACAAUGAAGGACAUCUCAACUCAGACCCCUGCUGUCAGUCCAGUAAGGACUAAGAGAAAUUACUGCCUUUCUGCUUCAACUGGAAAUACCAUGAUCCUUUGCACACAUCCGACCUCUCCGACCUCUCCAUACAGAUCUGAUCUAAGUCCAGAUAGGGACUCAUAUUAAAAGUGUCAAAUUCAAAUGUUUUCUCAGAUUUUUGUAAAAGGUCUCUAAUAAAUACAGUAUUUCUGAUCCAUUUUCCA